UGAGUACGAGCGGCUACGGCCGCGAAGUGGAUGAUGUCAAGCUUCCAAGAAAAGCCCUAUACCCGUUAAGGCAUGAUGGCCUGUACCCGAAACCGACACAGGUGGGGUGGUAGAGAAUACCGAGGGGCGCGAGGUAACUCUCUCUAAGGAACUCGGCAAAAUGGCCCCGUAACUUCGGGAGAAGGGGUGCCACCGCGAGGUGGUCGCAGUGAAGAGGCCCAGGCGACUGUUUACCAAAAACACAGGUCUCCGCUAAGUCGCAAGACGAUGUAUGGGGGCUGACGCCUGCCCAGUGCCGGAAGGUUAAGGAAGCUGGUCAGCGCAAGCGAAGCUGGCGACUGAAGCCCCGGUGAACGGCGGCCGUAACAAUAACGGUCCUAAGGUAGCGAAAUUCCUUGUCGGGUAAGUUCCGACCCGCACGAAAGGCGUAACGAUCUGGGCGCUGUCUCGGAGAGAGGCUCGGCGAAAUAGAAUUGUCUGUGAAGAUGCGGACUACGUGCACCCGGACAGAAAGACCCUAUGAAGCUUUACUGUAGCUUGGUAUUGUGCUCGGGCUCGGAAUGCGCAGGAUAGGUGGGAGGCUUUGAUCCAUUGCUUGCGGGUGAUGGUGAGCCACUGGUGAGAUACCACUCUUUCCGAGCUAGAGUUCUAACAGCAACCCGUUAUCCGGGUGCUGGACAGUAUCAGGUGGGCAGUUUGACUGGGGCGGUCGCCUCCUAAAAGGUAACGGAGGCGCGCAAAGGUCUGCUCAGGCUGGUUGGAAAUCAGCCGACGAGUGUAAAAGCAGAAGCAGGCUUGACUGUGAGACCUACAAGUCGAACAGGGAGGAAACUCGGCUUUAGUGAUCCGACGGUUCUGCGUGGAAGGGCCGUCGCUCAACGGAUAAAAGUUACUCUAAGGAUAACAGGCUGAUCUCCCCCAAGAGUUCACAUCGACGGGGAGGUUUGGCACCUCGAUGUCGGCUCAUCGCAACCUGGGGCUGAAGUCGGUCCCAAGGGUUGGGCUGUUCGCCCAUUAAAGCGGUACGCGAGCUGGGUUCAGAACGUCGUGAGACAGUUCGGUCCAUAUCCGGUGCACGCGCAGGAAUAUUGAGAGGAUUUCUCCCUAGUACGAGAGGACCGGGAGGAACGCACCUCUGGUGUGCCAGUUAUCGUGCCAACGGUAAACGCUGGGUAGCCAUGUGCGGAGUGGAUAACCGCUGAAAGCAUCUAAGUGGGAAGCCCACCUCAAGAUGAGUAUUCCCAUGGCAUAAGCCAGUAAGGUCACGGGAAGAACACCCGUUGAUAGGCUCUACGUGGAAGCGCAGUAAUGUGUGAAGCGGAGGGGUACUAAUAGACC
rnacentral:rRNA from 1 species